UACGAAGGGGGGCUAGCGUUGUUCGGAAUUACUGGGCGUAAAGCGCACGUAGGCGGAUCUGUAAGUAGGGGGUGAAAUCCCCAGGCUUAACCUGGGAACUGCAUUCGAGACUGCAUUGCUAGAGUAUGGGAGAGGGAAGUGGAAUUUCCGGUGUAGCGGUGAAAUGCGUAGAUAUCGGAAGGAACAUCAGUGGCGAAAGCGACUUCCUGGACCAAUACUGACGCUCAUGUGCGAAAGCGUGGGGAGCAAACAGG
rnacentral:rRNA from 1 species